rnacentral:rRNA from 1 species
GUGCCAGCCGCCGCGGUAAUACGAAGGGGGCUAGCGUUGUUCGGAUUUACUGGGCGUAAAGCGCACGUAGGCGGAUUGUUAAGUUAGGGGUGAAAUCCCAGGGCUCAACCCUGGAACUGCCUUUAAUACUGGCAAUCUCGAGUCCGGAAGAGGUGAGUGGAAUUCCGAGUGUAGAGGUGAAAUUCGUAGAUAUUCGGAGGAACACCAGUGGCGAAGGCGGCUCACUGGUCCGGUACUGACGCUGAGGUGC